rnacentral:rRNA from 1 species
AACGAACGCUGGCGGCGUGCUUAACACAUGCAAGUCGAACGAAGCACUUCGGAUUGAUUUCUCCGGAAGGAAUGAAGAUGUGACUGAGUGGCGGACGGGUGAGUAACGCGUGGGCAACCUGCCUUGUACAGGGGGACAACAGUUGGAAACGACUGCUAAUACCGCAUAAGCGCACGGUACCGCAUGGUACAGUGUGAAAAACUCCGGUGGUACAAGAUGGGCCCGCGUCUGAUUAGGUAGUUGGUGAGGUAACGGCCUACCAAGCCGACGAUCAGUAGCCGACCUGAGAGGGUGACCGGCCACAUUGGGACUGAGACACGGCCCAA